CUUUAUCAAACUGCAUCUGGAUGUCAUCCAGUGCAUCAAUGCAGUUCUCCAGAAAGCAAAGAUGAUGAGCCAAACUCUGAUGCGCAAGGUCCAAAUAGUCUGUUGGCGAGAGCUACAGGACUUUGUGGAAAGGUAUGUCAAUGUUGAAAAGAAGCACCUUCAGAAACAAGCAGGAAUGGGAACGUCAGGUACAAUGCACUUCUUUAAGACGUUCAACACCUGCAUUGAAC